GACGAACGCUGGCGGCGUGCCUAAUACAUGCAAGUAGAUCGCUGAAGGAGGAGCUUGCUUCUCUGGAUGAGUUGCGAACGGGUGAGUAACGCGUAGGUAACCUGCCUGGUAGCGGGGGAUAACUAUUGGAAACGAUAGCUAAUACCGCAUAAGAGUAGAUGUUGCAUGACAUUUGCUUAAAAGGUGCAAUUGCAUCACUACCAGAUGGACCUGCGUUGUAUUAGCUAGUUGGUGGGGUAACGGCUCACCAAGGCGACGAUACAUAGCCGACCUGAGAGGGUGAUCGGCCACACUGGGACUGAGACACGGCCCAGACUCCUACGGGAGGCAGCAGUAGGGAAUCUUCGGCAGUGGACGGAAGUCUGACCGAGCAACGCCGCGUGAGUGAAGAAGGUUUUCGGAUCGUAAAGCUCUGUUGUAAGAGAAGAACGAGUGUGAGAGUGGAAAGUUCACACUGUGACGGUAUCUUACCAGAAAGGGACGGCUAACUACGUG
rnacentral:rRNA from 1 species